rnacentral:rRNA from 1 species
CGUUCGAGACCAGGACGUUGAUAGGUCGGGUGUGGAAGUGCAGUAAUGCAUUAAGCUAACCGAUACUAAUUGCCCGUACGGCUUGUCCCU